rnacentral:rRNA from 1 species
GGGUUGUGAGGUUAAGCGACUAAGCGUACACGGUGGAUGCCCUGGCAGUCAGAGGCGAUGAAGGACGUGCUAAUCUGCGAAAAGCGUCGGUAAGGUGAUAUGAACCGUUACAGCCGGCGAUGUCCGAAUGGGGAAACCCAGUGCAAUUCGUUGCACUAUCGUUAACUGAAUACAUAGGUUAACGAGGCGAACCGGGGGAACUGAAACAUCUAAGUACCCCGAGGAAAAGAAAUCAACCGAGAUUCCCCCAGUAGCGGCGAGCGAACGGGGAGCAGCCCAGAGUCUGAAUCAGCUUGUGUGUUAGUGGAACGGUCUGGAAAGUCCGACGGUACAGGGUGAUAGUCCCGUACACCAAAAUGCACAGGCUGUGAACUCGAAGAGUAGGGCGGGACACGUGGUAUCCUGUCUGAAUAUGGGGGGACCAUCCUCCAAGGCUAAAUACUCCUGACUGACCGAUAGUGAACCAGUACCGUGAGGGAAAGGCGAAAAGAACCCCGGCGAGGGGAGUGAAAAAGAACCUGAAACCGUGUACGUACAAGCAGUGGGAGCACCUUCGGGUGUGACUGCGUACCUUUUGUAUAAUGGGUCAGCGACUUAUAUUCUGUAGCAAGGUUAACCGUAUAGGGGAGCCGCAGGGAAACCGAGUCUUAACUGGGCGUUAAGUUGCAGGGUAUAGACCCGAAACCCGGUGAUCUAGCCAUGGGCAGGUUGAAGGUUGGGUAACACUAACUGGAGGACCGAACCGACUAAUGUUGAAAAAUUAGCGGAUGACUUGUGGCUGGGGGUGAAAGGCCAAUCAAACCGGGAGAUAGCUGGUUCUCCCCGAAAGCUAUUUAGGUAGCGCCUCGUGAACUCAUCUUCGGGGGUAGAGCACUGUUUCGGCUAGGGGGUCAUCCCGACUUACCAACCCGAUGCAAACUACGAAUACCGAAGAAUGUUAUCACGGGAGACACACGGCGGGUGCUAACGUCCGUCGUGAAGAGGGAAACAACCCAGACCGCCAGCUAAGGUCCCAAAGUCAUGGUUAAGUGGGAAACGAUGUGGGAAGGCACAGACAGCCAGGAUGUUGGCUUAGAAGCAGCCAUCAUUUAAAGAAAGCGUAAUAGCUCACUGGUCGAGUCGGCCUGCGCGGAAGAUGUAACGGGGCUAAACCAUGCACCGAAGCUGCGGCAGCGACACUAUGUGUUGUUGGGUAGGGGAGCGUUCUGUAAGCCUGCGAAGGUGACCUGUGAGGGUUGCUGGAGGUAUCAGAAGUGCGAAUGCUGACAUAAGUAACGAUAAAGCGGGUGAAAAGCCCGCUCGCCGGAAGACCAAGGGUUCCUGUCCAACGUUAAUCGGGGCAGGGUGAGUCGACCCCUAAGGCGAGGCCGAAAGGCGUAGUCGAUGGGAAACAGGUUAAUAUUCCUGUACUUGGUGUUACUGCGAAGGGGGGACGGAGAAGGCUAUGUUAGCCGGGCGACGGUUGUCCCGGUUUAAGCAUGUAGGCUGGUUGUCCAGGCAAAUCCGGAUAAUCAAGGCUGAGGUGUGAUGACGAGGCACUACGGUGCUGAAGUAACAAAUGCCCUGCUUCCAGGAAAAGCCUCUAAGCAUCAGGUAACAUUAAAUCGUACCCCAAACCGACACAGGUGGUCAGGUAGAGAAUACCAAGGCGCUUGAGAGAACUCGGGUGAAGGAACUAGGCAAAAUGGUGCCGUAACUUCGGGAGAAGGCACGCUGGUGUGUAGGUGAAGUCCCUGCGGAUGGAGCUGAGACCAGUCGAAGAUACCAGCUGGCUGCAACUGUUUAUUAAAAACACAGCACUGUGCAAACACGAAAGUGGACGUAUACGGUGUGACGCCUGCCCGGUGCCGGAAGGUUAAUUGAUGGGGUUAUCCGUAAGGAGAAGCUCUUGAUCGAAGCCCCGGUAAACGGCGGCCGUAACUAUAACGGUCCUAAGGUAGCGAAAUUCCUUGUCGGGUAAGUUCCGACCUGCACGAAUGGCGUAAUGAUGGCCAGGCUGUCUCCACCCGAGACUCAGUGAAAUUGAACUCGCUGUGAAGAUGCAGUGUACCCGCGGCAAGACGGAAAGACCCCGUGAACCUUUACUAUAGCUUGACACUGAACAUUGAGCCUUGAUGUGUAGGAUAGGUGGGAGGCUUUGAAGCGUGGACGCCAGUCUGCGUGGAGCCAACCUUGAAAUACCACCCUUUAAUGUUUGAUGUUCUAACGUUGGCCCCUUACCGGGGUUGCGGACAGUGUCUGGUGGGUAGUUUGACUGGGGCGGUCUCCUCCCAAAGCGUAACGGAGGAGCACGAAGGUUAGCUAAUCCUGGUCGGACAUCAGGAGGUUAGUGCAAUGGCAUAAGCUAGCUUGACUGCGAGCGUGACGGCGCGAGCAGGUGCGAAAGCAGGUCAUAGUGAUCCGGUGGUUCUGAAUGGAAGGGCCAUCGCUCAACGGAUAAAAGGUACUCCGGGGAUAACAGGCUGAUACCGCCCAAGAGUUCAUAUCGACGGCGGUGUUUGGCACCUCGAUGUCGGCUCAUCACAUCCUGGGGCUGAAGUAGGUCCCAAGGGUAUGGCUGUUCGCCAUUUAAAGUGGUACGCGAGCUGGGUUUAGAACGUCGUGAGACAGUUCGGUCCCUAUCUGCCGUGGGCGCUGGAGAAUUGAGGGGGGCUGCUCCUAGUACGAGAGGACCGGAGUGGACGCAUCACUGGUGUUCGGGUUGUCAUGCCAAUGGCACUGCCCGGUAGCUAAAUGCGGAAGAGAUAAGUGCUGAAAGCAUCUAAGCACGAAACUUGCCCCGAGAUGAGUUCUCCCUGAGACUUUAAGUCUCCUGAAGGAACGUUAAAGACGAUGACGUUGAUAGGCCGGGUGUGUAAGCGCAGCGAUGCGUUGAGCUAACCGGUACUAAUGAACCGUGAGGCUUAACCUUACAACGCCGAAG